UUAGUACUUCCUCCGUCCGAAAAUACUUGUCAUCAAAAUGAAUAAAAAAGGAUGUAUGUAGAACUAAAAUACAUCUAGAUACAUCUCUUUUUAUCCAUACAUUAUUUUUUAUCCAUUUUGAUGACAAGUAUUUCGGGAUGGAGGGUUUACUAU
rfam:Triticum urartu cultivar G1812 contig1157175, whole genome shotgun sequence.